NUAAGGANACCNCCGGUGACAANCCGGAGGAAGGUGGGGAUGACGUCAAGUCAUCAUGGCCCUUACGNCCAGGGCUACACACGUACUACAAUGGUGGGGACAGAGGGCUGCAAUCCCGCGAGGGUGAGCCAAUCCCAGAAACCCCAUCUCAGUCCGGAAUCGGAGUCUGCAACUCGACUCCGUGAAGUCGGAAUAANUUUCUAAUNGCAGAUCAGCAUUGCUGCGGUGAAUACGUUCCCGGGCCUUGUACACACCGCCCGUCACACCAUGGGAGUUUGUUGCACCAGAAGCAGGUAGCUAACAAACAGGGG
rnacentral:rRNA from 1 species